UCCCUGGCAGUCCAGUGGUUAAGACUCUGCACUCCCAAUGCAGGGGGCAUGGGUUUGAUCCCUAGUUGGGGAA
rnacentral:tRNA from 1 species